UAAUACGUAGGUGGCAAGCGUUAUCCGGAAUUAUUGGGCGUAAAGGGAGCGUAGGCGGUUUAUUAAGUCUGAGGUAAAAGGCAGUGGCUCAACCACUGUAAGCCUUGGAAACUGGUAAACUAGAGUGCAGGAGAGGCAAAUGGAAUUCCAUGUGUAGCGGUAAAAUGCGUAGAUAUAUGGAGGAACACCAGUGGCGAAGGCGGUUUGCUGGCCUGUAACUGACGCUGAGGCUCGAAAGCGUGGGGAGCAAAUAGG
rnacentral:rRNA from 1 species